rnacentral:rRNA from 1 species
GACGAACCGUGCGAACGUUGUUCGGAAUCACUGGGCUUAAAGGGCGCGUAGGCGGGCCACCAAGUCAGGGGUGAAAUCCUGCGGCUCAACCGUAGAAGUGCCUUUGAUACUGGUGGCCUUGAGGGAGGUAGGGGCGUGCGGAACUUCCGGUGGAGCGGUGAAAUGCGUAGAUAUCGGAAGGAACACCGGUGGCGAAAGCGGCGCGCUGGACCUCUUCUGACGCUGAGGCGCGAAAGCCAGGGGAGCGAACGGG